AUUGAACGCUGGCGGCAGGCCUAACAAAUGCAAGUCGAGCGGAGCGGCGGACGGGUGAGUAAUGCCUAGGAAUAUGCCUGGUAGUGGGGGAUAACGUCCGGAAACGGGCGCUAAUACCGCAUACUAUCAGAUGAGCCUAGGUCGGAAUAGCUAGUAGGUGGGGUAACGGCUCACCUAGGCGACGAUAACUAGAGGGUCUGAGAGACUGACCAGCCACCUGGGAACUGGACCACGGUCCAGCCUCCUAGGGGAGGAAGAAUGGGGAAUAUUGCACAAUGGGCGCAAGCCUGAUGCAGCCAUGCCGCGUGUAUGAAGAAGGCCUUCGGGUUGUAAAGUACUUUCAGCGGGGAGGCGUUACCCGCAGAAGAAGCACCGGCUAACUCCGUGCCAGCAGCCGCGGUAAUAC
rnacentral:rRNA from 1 species